UAUGUAUCAUGUCACUUGUGGCGGCCAUUAGAAAGAUACUAACUACGUGAAGGAACACAAACCUGUAUUCCUGACACUAUAGUGCUGGAAAACAAAGUUUUACUCACCUUUUCUCCCUUGCCACGACAAUCUUGAUGAUCUCAGCCAAUCCAAUGUUUUCCCAGAAGACAGCAUAGGGAGGCUACUGCGCAUGCACAUCAAAAUGCUGCAUUGUGUCAGUCGGCAUCUUUGAAGAG